rnacentral:tRNA from 1 species
AAUUAUAUAUUCAAAUAAUGAUUUUAAAUUGCAAAUUUAAAGGUAUAUAAAAAUAUUAUAAUUU